GACGAACGCUGGCGGCGCGCUUAACACAUGCAAGUCGAACGGAAAGGCCUGCUUUCCCUUGUGGAUUGCGGGUACUCGAGUGGCGAACGGGUGAGUAACACGUGGGUGAUCUGCCCCCAACUUGGGUAUAAGCCUGGGAAACUGGGUCUAAUUCCCGAUAGGACUGCAGGGUGGUGCCUGUGGUGGAAAACGAUUUUCUAGUGGUUGGGGAUGAGCUCGCGGCCUAUCAGCUUGUUGGUGGGGUAAUGGCCUACCAAGGCGGCGACGGGUAGCCGGCCUGAGAGGGUGGACGGCCACAUUGGGACUGAGAUACGGCCCAGACUCCUACGGGAGGCAGCAGUGGGGAAUAUGGCACAAUGGGCGGAAGCCUGAUGCAGCGACGCCGCGUGGGGGAUGACGGCCUUCGGGUUGUAAACUCCUUUCGACCGCGAGGAAGCCACCUGGUUGGAAGGGUGGUGACGGUAGUGGUAGAAGAAGCACCGGCUAACUACGUG
rnacentral:rRNA from 1 species